UCCCAGAGUAGGGCCUUGCAAAGAGCCUA
rnacentral:piRNA from 1 species